rnacentral:rRNA from 1 species
UGAACCUGGCGGCAUGCCACACAUGUCAGUCGAACGGCAGCAUGACUUAGCUUGCUAGGUUGAUGGCGAGUGGCGAACGUGAGUAACGCGUAGGAAUAUACCCUGAAGUGGGGGAUACCUGGGGAAACUCAGGCUAAUACCGCAUAAUGUCUGAGGACGAAAGCUGGGGACCUUCGGGCCUGGUGCUUUAGGAAUAGCCUGCGUCCGAUUAGCUAGUUGGUGGGGUAAAGGCCUACCAAGGCUGUGAUCGGUAGCUGGUCUGAGAGGACGAACAGCCACACUGGGACUGAGACACGGCCCAGACUCCUACGGGAGGCAGCAGUGGGGAAUAUUGGACAAUGGGGGCAACCCUGAUCCAGCGAUGCCGCGUGUGUGAAGAAGGCCUGAGGGUUGUAAAGCACUUUCAGCGGGGAGGAGGGCUGAUUGGUUCAGAGCUGAUGAGUUGGACGUUACCGCCGAAGAAGCACCGGCUAACUCCGAGCAAGCAGCCGCGGAAAUACGGCAGGUGCGAGCGUACAUCGGAAUUACUGGA